rnacentral:rRNA from 1 species
ACGCUCGACACCUACGGGAGGCAGCAGUGGGAAUAUUGCACAAUGGGGGAAACCCUGAUGCAGCGACGCCGCGUGGAGGAAGAAGGUCUUCGGAUUGUAAACUCCUGUUGUUGGGGAAAAAGAGGAUGGUACCCAACAAGGAAGUGACAGCUAACUACGUGCUAGCAGCCGCGGUAAUCUGAGCGGGCUGGCAAGGC